rnacentral:rRNA from 1 species
UUAAGCGACUAAGCGUACACGGUGGAUGCCCUGGCAGUCAGAGGCGAUGAAGGACGUGCUAAUCUGCGAUAAGCGUCGGUAAGGUGAUAUGAACCGUUAUAACCGGCGAUUUCCGAAUGGGGAAACCCAGUGUGUUUCGACACACUAUCAUUAACUGAAUCCAUAGGUUAAUGAGGCGAACCGGGGGAACUGAAACAUCUAAGUACCCCGAGGAAAAGAAAUCAACCGAGAUUCCCCCAGUAGCGGCGAGCGAACGGGGAGCAGCCCAGAGCCUGAAUCAGUGUGUGUGUUAGUGGAAGCGUCUGGAAAGGCGCGCGAUACAGGGUGACAGCCCCGUACACAAAAAUGCACA